GGUCCGGCCGGGCCUUUCCCUCUGUGGAACCCCAUGCCCUUCACUGGGUGUGGCGGGGAAACAGGACUUUUACUGUGAAAAAAUUAGAGUGCUCCAGGCAGGCCUAUGCUCGAAUACAUUAGCAUGGAAUAAUAGAAUAGGACGUGUGGUUCUAUUUUGUUGGUUUCUAGGACCGCCGUAAUGAUUAAUAGGGACAGUCGGGGGCAUCAGUAUUCAAUUGUCAGAGGUGAAAUUCUUGGAUUUAUUGAAGACUAACUACUGCGAAAGCAUUUGCCAAGGAUGUUUUCAUUAAUCAGGAACGAAAGUUAGGGGAUCGAAGACGAUCAGAUACCGUCGUAGUCUUAACCAUAAACUAUGCCGACUAGGGAUCGGACGAUGUUAUAUUUUGACUCGUUCGGCACCUUACGAGAAAUCAAAGUGCUUGGGCUCCAGGGGGAGUAUGGUCGCAAGGCUGAAACUUAAAGAAAUUGACGGAAGGGCACCACCAGGGGUGGAGCCUGCGGCUUAAUU
rnacentral:rRNA from 1 species